GACGAACGCUGGCGGCGUGCCUAAUACAUGCAAGUCGAACGAACCGCGACUGAGUGCUUGCACUUGGUCAAGGUGAGUGGCGAACGGGUGAGUAACACGUGGGUAACCUACCUCAUAGUGGGGGAUAACAGUCGGAAACGACUGCUAAUACCGCAUAGGACAUGGAAUCACAUGAUUCUGUGAGGAAAGGUGGCGCAAGCUAUCGCUAAGAGAUGGACCCGCGGUGCAUUAGCUAGUUGGUAGGGUAAGGGCCUACCAAGGCGAUGAUGCAUAGCCGACCUGAGAGGGUGAUCGGCCACAUUGGGACUGAGACACGGCCCAAACUCCUACGGGAGGCAGCAGUAGGGAAUCUUCCGCAAUGGGCGCAAGUCUGACGGAGCAACGCCGCGUGAGUGAAGAAGGUCUUCGGAUCGUAAAGCUCUGUUGUUAGGGAAGAACAGCGCAUAGAGUAACUGUUAUGCGUGUGACGGUAUCUAACCAGAAAGCCACGGCUAACUACGUG
rnacentral:rRNA from 1 species